rnacentral:rRNA from 1 species
AGAACGAACGCUGGCGGCAGGCUUAACACAUGCAAGUCGAACGCCCUCGCAAGGGGGAGUGGCAGACGGGUGAGUAACACGUGGGAACAUACCCUUCGGUUCGGAACAACGCCGGGAAACUGGCGCUAAUACCGGAUACGGCUUUUGAGCGAAAGAUUUAUCGCCGAAGGAUUGGCCCGCGUUCGAUUAGCUUGUUGGUGAGGUAACGGCUCACCAAGGCGACGAUCGAUAGCU